UGCCCUUUGGCCCAGUUGGUGAAGGCGCACGACUGUUAUGAUCCUCUGUGGAGCACUUUAUCGUGAGAUCGCAAGUUCGAACCUUGCAGGGGCAG